UACGUAGGGUGCGAGCGUUGUCCGGAAUUAUUGGGCGUAAAGAGCUCGUAGGCGGUGUGUCACGUCGAUCGUGAAAACUCACAGCUCAACUGUGGGCGUGCGGGCGAGACGGGCAGACUAGAGUACUGCAGGGGAGACUGGAAUUCCUGGUGUAGCGGUGGAAUGCGCAGAUAUCAGGAGGAACACCGGUGGCGAAGGCGGGUCUCUGGGCAGUAACUGACGCUGAGGAGCGAAAGCGUGGGGAGCGAACAGG
rnacentral:rRNA from 1 species